rnacentral:rRNA from 1 species
UAAGGAAUAUUGGACAAUGGGCGCAAGCCUGAUCCAGCCAUGCCGCGUGAAGGAUGAAGGCCCUAUGGGUCGUAAACUUCUUUUAUACGGGAAAAAACCCCCGAUUGCGAUCGGGGUUGAUGGUACUGUAAGAAUAAGGGUCGGCUAACUUCGUGCCAGCAGCCGCGGUAAUACGAAGGACCCGAGCGUUAUCCGGAUUUAUUGGGUUUAAAAGGUGCGUAGGCGGAUUAGUAAGUCAGUGGUGAAAGCCCAUCGCUUAACGUGGAAUUGCCACUUGAUACUGCUAGUCUUGAGUAUGGUUGAGGUGGGCGGAAUGUGUCAUGUAGCGGUGAAAUGCUUAGAUAUGACACAGAACACCAAUUGCGAAGGCAGCUCGCUAAGCCAUAACUGACGCUGAUGCGCGAAAGCGUGGGGAGCAAACAGGAUAGAUACCUGGUAGUCCACGCCCUAAACGAUGAUAACUCGUUGUUGGCGAUACACAGUCAG